CCUACGGGUGGCUGCAGUGGGGAAUAUUGGACAAUGGGGGCAACCCUGAUCCAGCCAUGCCGCGUGUGUGAAGAAGGCCCUCGGGUUGUAAAGCACUUUCAGUGAGGAAGAACGCCUGGUGGUUAAUACCCAUCAGGAAAGACAUCACUCACAGAAGAAGCACCGGCUAACUCCGUGCCAGCAGCCGCGGUAAUACGGAGGGUGCGAGCGUUAAUCGGAAUUACUGGGCGUAAAGCUCGCGUAGGUGGCUUGAUAAGCCGGUUGUGAAAGCCCCGGGCUCAACCUGGGAACGGCAUCCGGAACUGUCAAGCUAGAGUGCAGGAGAGGAAGGUAGAAUUCCCGGUGUAGCGGUGAAAUGCGUAGAGAUCGGGAGGAAUACCAGUGGCGAAGGCGGCCUUCUGGACUGACACUGACACUGAGGUGCGAAAGCGUGGGUAGCAAACAGGAUUAGAUACCCCAGUAGUC
rnacentral:rRNA from 1 species